AACAACAAUGCUAAUCAUCUCUACCCAUUACAGAUUCAAUUCUAUGCAAUAAACAUUUCCAGGCGCAGUGCUACGUACUCAACAAAUAUUAUCUCAUUUAAUUCAAUUAACGGCAACCACCCAGGAGAAAUGUUGUGGGAUUAAUCGACUGCAUUGUAAGGAGGAGCACGAGUGGGUUUGAAACUUUGUACUUUCGUACUUGGAAAUACCUUUUUUUUUUCCUUUGGGCAUUGGAUCACCUAGAAUGGAAACGGACAUGGAACCCAGACCCAGUGUGAGAACUCAAGGAGAGGAGAUUUGGUCAAUUAUUAAGACUAAGACAAGUGAAUGUCUAAGGACUACCUCGCCUAAUAAGUUUCAACACCCACAAGCAAUCCUGUCUUGAUAUGUGUAGAAUACAGCAUUUCAUUUUUAUAAACUCUUCAUGUAACAAUUUCUCGAAAACUCAUUUUUGCAUGGUCUGCUUUGGCAUAGAGUUU
rnacentral:lncRNA from 10 species